rnacentral:rRNA from 1 species
CAGAGCAGAACGACCCGCGAACACGUUGAAAAGGAUAAGGGCGAAAGCCCCCUGCCCAUGGCCCCCUUGCUUGCGGCGCCGAAGUGAGCUUGCGAAGCAAGAAACGAACCCCGACGCAAUCCGCGUCAAGGAAAACAUUUAACUCGAGGGCGUGUUGUUGUCCCGUCGCGGGUUAGCGCGCGGGCUGACGACCGCUCCUUAGUGAAAAACAAAAACGACUCUCGGCAACGGAUAUCUUGGCUCUCGCAUCGAUGAAGAACGUAGCGAAAUGCGAUACUUGGUGUGAAUUGCAGAAUCCCGUGAACCAUCGAGUCUUUGAACGCAAGUUGCGCCCGAAGCCUUUAGGCCGAGGGCACGUCUGCAUGGGCGUCACGUAUCGCGUCGCCCCCGGGGAGCGGAUAUUGGCCUCCUGUGCCUUGUGGCGUGGUUGGCUCAAACUAGAGUCCCUUGCGUAGGACGCACGACAAGUGGUGGUUGAUAACAAGGCCCUCGCGUCCCGUUGUGCGGCUAUCCUCCGUGGGAUUUGGCUCGUGUGACCCUGAUGCCCCCACACAUGUGGCUGUGCUUCGACCG